rnacentral:lncRNA from 1 species
UACAAAAUACAUUGUGAGUUAGAAUGCAUCUACUUAAUUCCUUGCAAAAGUAGAUUCCCGUGUAUCGGGUAUCCUAGACAUCUCGUUGGUGUGACGUCCCUGCAGCAGUACAAAACAUUUAAGAGAAAACAAAUACUUAAAAUAAUAAUAAUGGUAACUAACGGCCUAGCAAUUAAAUAAGCAUUAACAUUUAUAAUUUCUUCAUGUAUUUGAUGUAACAAUUAGUAGUACAUAUAGAUACACAAGUUUUCAAAUGCCAUUCGCCGAAACUAGUCGUUUAUUUGUCCCGGCUAUCCAUUCGGAUUCCAUAGCGAUAGCUGCGUCGCUGCCAAUCCUAAAAUCGGCAGCCGAAACUACAUCGCUGCCGAUCAAGGAAUCGGCAGCGAAACUGGGUCGCUGCCGAUUUCUGUAUCGGCAGCGAAGACUGCAUCGCUGCCGAUCCAGAAUCGGCAGCGGAAACUGCGUCGCUGCCGAUUUCUGUAUCGGCAGCGGAAACUAGGUCGCUGCCGAUUUCUGUAUCGGCAGCGAAUACUGUGUCGCUGCCGAUCCAGAAUCGGCAGUGGAACUGCGUCGCUGCCGAUCCACAAUCGGCAGCGAAAUCAUCCCUUUUUAACCCGGCCAUCCAUUCGGACGCCAUUAGCCAAAGCUAAUCAUUCUUUGUCCCGGCCAUCCAUUCGGAUGCCAUUAGCCGAAGCUAAUCACUCUUUUGUCCCGGCCAUCCAUUCGGAUGCCAUUAGCCGAAGCUAAUCACUCUUUGUCCCGGCCUGGAUGCCAUUAGCCGAAGCUAAUCAGUCCUUCAUCCCGGCCAUCCAUUCGGACGCCAUUAGCCGAAGCUAAUCAUUCUUUGUCCCGGCCAUCCGUUUGGAUGCCAUUAGCCGAAGCUAAUCAGUCUUUUAUCAACAAUUAAGCGUUCGACAAUUUAAUAUCGGUUCUAACAAUAUGGUAGUACUCAAGUUAAAAUAUUCCAAGAUUCAACGUAUGAAAAAGAAAGGUGCAAGUCACCUACCUGCUCCACCUGUGGGUCGUUCCUGUCUUGAUGAUGGUCCAAUCCCGACCGCACCACCUAAGACAUCAAUGGUCACAAAUCAGCACAGUUGUAUUUAUUUUAUUUUUGAAUCACAUUCAUCAUCACACUUAUUUCAAUAGUUCAUAUGUUCACAUUCAAGUGUUCCCUAUUUUACACCAUCAUAUCAUGAAAUUGUUAUUAGCAUUUAAGUCAUUCCUGCCUAGGAGGCUUAUUGUAGGAAUCGGCAGCGAGAACUGGUUCGCUGCGGGCUGCCCAAUUCGGCAGCGAGAACUGGUUCGCCGCAGGCUGCCAGUUCGGCAGCGAGAACUGCACCGCUGUUGGCGCCACAGUUUCGCUGCACAACGCACAACUCGGCAGCGAAUAUCACUUCGCUGCAGGAGGUUCAGCUGCGGCAGCGAAACAGAAUUUCGCUGCGCAACACACAAAUCGGCAGCGAAUAUCAAAUCGCUGCAGCAGGUUCAGUUGCGGCAGCGAAUAUUAAUUCGCUGCAGCAGGUUCAGUUGCGGCAGCGAAACAGAAUUUCGCUGCGCAACACAUCAGUUGCGGCAGCGAAACAGAAAUUUCGCUGCGCAACACACAAAUCAGCAGCAUCAAUUUCAGCACAAACACACAAAUCGGCAGCAUCAAUUUCAGCACAAUCAUCACAGUAGAACACAUUAAUUCCAGCAACAAACAUCACAGCAGAACACAUUAAUUACCCCCUAGUUAAAGCCAGCCUUCUGCCAUGAUUUGUUAGAUGUUCUGAAAUUGACUUUAUUUCACUUUUGUUUGCUUGUUCUCUUGGUUAAUUUCAGCUUCCUUCACAGCUGGCUUAGGUCUUAGAUCAAUUCUUUUCUUAGGGUUUUUCUUCUUCAUUUUCGUUUUUGAUCUUACGGGGGAGAGGAAGAGAGUUUCAUGACCCAUACCUUCUGAAUUUAACUAAGUUUGAGGAAGGUUUGACACUAUUCAGCUGCUGGUUCUCCUCCUUCUUCUUCCUCUCACGUUUUCCGGCUCUCUUUUUCCUCUCCUCUAUGCAGCUGCCCACUCCUCUCUCAAGGUCUCAUCUCUCCCUAACAAGUUCACAAAGUAAUCUCUACUGGUCUGAUUCACGUUUCUGUUGUGAAAGGGGAAGGGAAGAACGGCAUGC